GAUGAACGCUGGCGGCGUGCCUAAUACAUGCAAGUCGAGCGAACGGACGAGAAGCUUGCUUCUCUGAUGUUAGCGGCGGACGGGUGAGUAACACGUGGAUAACCUACCUAUAAGACUGGGAUAACUUCGGGAAACCGGAGCUAAUACCGGAUGAUAUUUUGAACCGCAUGGUUCAAAAGUGAAAGACGGUCUUGCUGUCACUUAUAGAUGGAUCCGCGCUGCAUUAGCUAGUUGGUAAGGUAACGGCUUACCAAGGCAACGAUGCAUAGCCGACCUGAGAGGGUGAUCGGCCACACUGGAACUGAGACACGGUCCAGACUCCUACGGGAGGCAGCAGUAGGGAAUCUUCCGCAAUGGGCGCAAGCCUGACGCAGCAACGCCGCGUGAGUGAUGAAGGUCUUCGGAUCGUAAAACUCUGUUAUUAGGGAAGAACAUAUGUGUAAGUAACUGUGCACAUCUUGACGGUACCUAAUCAGAAAGCCACGGCUAACUACGUG
rnacentral:rRNA from 1 species